rnacentral:rRNA from 1 species
GACGAACGCUGGCGGCGUGCUUAACACAUGCCAGUCGAACGGAAAGGCCCUGCUUUUGUGGGGUGCUCGAGUGGCGAACGGGUGAGUAACACGUGAGUAACCUGCCCUUGACUUUGGGAUAACUUCAGGAAACUGGGGCUAAUACCGGAUAGGAGCUCCUGCUGCAUGGUGGGGGUUGGAAAGUUUCGGCGGUUGGGGAUGGACUCGCGGCUUAUCAGCUUGUUGGUGGGGUAGUGGCUUACCAAGGCUUUGACGGGUAGCCGGCCUGAGAGGGUGACCGGCCACAUUGGGACUGAGAUACGGCCCAGACUCCUACGGGAGGCAGCAGUGGGGAAUAUUGCACAAUGGGCGGAAGCCUGAUGCAGCAACGCCGCGUUCGGGAUGACGGCCUUCGGGUUGUAAACCGCUUUCGCCUGUGACGAAGCGUGAGUGACGGUAAUGGGUAAAGAAGCACCGGCUAACUACGUG